UACGUAGGGUCCGAGCGUUGUCCGGAAUUACUGGGCGUAAAGAGCUCGUAGGUGGUUUGUCGCGUUGUUCGUGAAAACUCACAGCUUAACUGUGGGCGUGCGGGCGAUACGGGCAGACUUGAGUACUGCAGGGGAGACUGGAAUUCCGGGUGUAGCGGUGGAAUGCGUAGAGAUCCGGAGGAAGACCGGUGGCGAAGGCGGUCUGCUGGGCAGUUUCUGACACUGAGGCGCGACAGCGUGGGGAGCAAACAGG
rnacentral:rRNA from 1 species